rnacentral:rRNA from 1 species
GCCCGCGUCCGAUUAGCUAGUUGGCGGGGUAAUGGCCCACCAAGGCGACGAUCGGUAGCCGGCCUGUGAGGACAGACAGCCAGACUGGGACUGAGACACGGCCCAGACUCCUACGGGAGGCAGCAGCAAGGAAUUUUCCCCAAUGGGCGCAAGCCUGAGGGAGCAACGCCGCGUGGAGGACGACGGCCUUCGGGUUGUAAACUCCUUUUGGGGGGGACGAUGAUGACGGUACCCCCCGAAUCAGCCCCGGCUAACUCUGUGCCA